rnacentral:lncRNA from 1 species
GAUACUGGGAUUCAGGAAUUAGCAUCCAGAUGGAUUCUUGUGGAAAAAAAGCUCUGUCUUGAGAGGGUGUGGUCCAGUGUUCCCAGAUGGUUUAGUGACUGUACAGGAAGAGAGCCCGUUAUCUUCUAACGUGCUGCAGUCAGUGAGCAUCUGACCCUUUCCUUUGGGAGGGUGAAGCAUCAGUGGAUAAGGGGCUUCUCUCUCCUCUCCUGCCCUGCAUUACUGAUGAUAUCAGAGGUCAAUAUUCAUGCUUUAGUGUUUAGGUUUAUCUAAAGCAGAGAAAAUGACCAUAGCUUGCUACAGCCAAGUUCCAGUGUGGCUGAGUAACCUGCUGGCAGCCUGAAGCAGCAGCUGGUAAGGCCUGUCUGGGUGUAGGACCACAUUGAAAUGGGGCUGUUGUGCUGAUACGUUUUGGUGAAGCUUUCCCAGCGCUCUGUAGGACUUUCAGGUAUUCAUGCAAAGGCGUAUGUACAGGAUUGCAAAUUCACCUAUUUUUCUCAACCAGUCCUGACCUCUGUGUAUCUUUAUAGAACUUAGUCAUGCUCUGAGCACACUGUCUCAGUGAGAAGAGUUACUUGGUUGCAUAGAGUCUCUAUGACAAUUAAAAUAUUUCCUUCCAGUAUUACAGAAGUGUUCAUGUUGGAACUGCCUUUUUUAAACUCUGUGGCUUCCUUUGGCUUCUCUGUGUGCCAGCUGUGUAUACCUUUUGUAAUCCUAUUUGAGGAAGAGUUUGUUUCUGAAAGUCAAUGUCAGGUUAUUAUUUUGGCACUAGGUGCAUGUGUUCUUCUCCUGCCUCCCCCUUGGAGGUUUUGAAGUUAAGAAUAAACCACUUAUGAACAAGGGUGUAACAAAUUGUUUUCCAAAGCAUAUAUUUAGAAUUGCAACUCUCGCUAGCAUAAGUUCAUCUGUCCCAGUGACCCCAAAUGUACUCGUGCUUUCUGCGUUUAUAAAUCAUCUUCUGUACUUAUGCAGCAGCUCUUCCCAAGCACAUGUGAACCCUUUGAAGCUGCUGGAUUAUUGUAUUUAUUGUGGUUUUCUGCAUGUAAAACUAUUCUUAUGCUUUUUCCAAUUAUGAAUUUAUGAUUAUGCCCACCAGUGGGAUAGCUUUCAAAUUUGUAUUGGCUUUAUUUAAUAAAUUUGAGGCAGAUUUUAUAGCUGAAACCGUGUAAAAAUUGUAUUAGACCUCCUCCCUGGCAUUAAUACUGCCUAAGACAUCUUAAGUUAGAGUGCUAAAAUGGGGAAUCCAGUUUUAUCCUUAGGGUGUUGUUGGGGAUCAGCCAGUGUUCAAGACGUGUUCUUGGCAUGUUGAAAAGAAAAUAAGUCUCUGACCUGUGCCUUGGAAGAUGUCUUGAAGGAGUUCAUGUAACAUGACUUCAAAACUAGAAUCUUGUGAUGAGAGAAGCAAGAUCAGCCAAAAACGGCAAAUCUGUUCCGAGCAUCUUUGAUCACUUGAGGCAGCUUGCAUGUGGGUUUUUACUCCACAGGCAUUUACCGUCCUUUGGUGGAAUUAAUAUUUUUUAUAAAAAUUAGAAUCAUUAUUGUAUUUCUGUAGAUAGAUUAAGGCCUUAUCUAGUUUUAGAUUGCUGGCUUGCUCUAUUUUCAUAUAGCUGCUUGAGGAAUUUGUGGUGAGUUCUCAACUAUUGAGGUCUGUACUGAAUACUUAGUUGAGGACACAUGCAUUUGGCUGCAUCAAGGUAAAGGUAAUUUUGAAGGAUAUUUGAAUUGCUGCCAUUUUACUAAAGAUUGGUCUGCUUUCUAUGCAUUUUCUGUGUUGAAAAAGAUCUUGAUUUUCGGGCAACAAGGGUAGUGAAUUCUGUAGCUCAAGACAGCAGCAGUGGAAUAAUCAAGAUGAGAAUUCUCCAGUUCUUUUAAAAUCACUGUUCAGUAUCAUGAGAUUAAACAAAUUAGAAACCUGAUACUAGCAGUCAAACCCUGAAAAUUAUCCAGAGUUUACAUUCUGAAUAAGGCUUUGAAUAAGGUUGAGUUCGUAAACUUAUAUUUUAUUAAAGCAGCUCAGAAUAGAAUUUGAGAAUUUAUGUUCUCGUUGCUGCACAAGCUAUUGGAAGGUUUCAGUGUACCGCUGGUUCAUGCUGCUGCUGUAACUGCUGCUCCGCAGUUUGUAAGUCACUCUUGUAAGAGUCAUGACUAAAAUGCUAAUUUACUUUUGUCCACAUGUAUUUUUCCUCGUGUAGGAUGCAGAAGUCUAAAACAAUUGCAUACCAUUUCCCCGUCCACCUGCUUCUUGUCAGCACAGUCAGUUUUCAUGGGUAAGCCUGUUCCACUUCCCACUUCUCAUGUCUCGUCUUGUGCCAGGGAUGUUUUACUGUGUAACUGUCAUAAGCUGGAAAGUUUUCUGUUUGUCGUUAUUUAAAGAGGAAAUAGUAGUUUCACAUGAACUUUUUUGUCGUACUUGCUUUUGGUAUUGUAUUUUAUGCAGAGAAUUUUUCCAAAUGACAUGGCAACAAUAAAAUUGUCAGUUUGCCGAUAUC